GGCGAGACCCUAUCAAUAUUGCCUCUGCUUUUUCCACUGUUUAUGGAGUAGUGCAAUAUUGCUUAUAGGGUCUU
ncrna:Cyprinus carpio (common carp) microRNA ccr-mir-454b precursor